AUUGAACGCUGGCGGCAGGCCUAACACAUGCAAGUCGAACGGAUCGACGGACGGGUGCUUCAUGCCUAGGAAUCUGCAUGGUAUUGGGGGAUAACAUCCGUAAACGGGCUCUAAUACAACAUACUAUCAGAUGAGCCUAGGUCGGAUUAGCUAGUUGGUGGGGUAAAGGCCUACCAAGGCGAAGAUCCGUAACUGGUCUGAGAGGAUGAUCAGUCACACUGGAACUGAGACACGGUCCAGACUCCUACGGGAGGCCGCAGUGGGGAAUAUUGGACAAUGGGCGAAAGCCUGAUCCAGCCAUGCCGCGUGUGUGAAGAAGGUCUUCGGAUUGUAAAGUACUUUAAGUUGGGAGGCGUUACCAACAGAAUAAGCACCGGCUAACUUCGUGCCAGCAGCCGCGGUAAUAC
rnacentral:rRNA from 1 species